AACACAUGCAUCAUAAAACAGGCGUAAGCGCUCACUGGAAGCUGAUUACAAAAUGAGAGGACUCACACUGCUCUGUUUGGUGGGACUUAUUCUCACAGCUUCACAAACUGAGUUGUGCCAUGGGUGCUGGAGUCCCCUUGAAGGUACACGUGAUGAAACUGAAUAAGCCGAGGGAAAUGACACACAGACUGUUCAUCAGAACAUUUCAGUGGAAGCAACAGUGGACGACCGUGAUUCUGCUCAUGUUACUGUCUUACCUAAAUGAUCAUUAAAAGUCUGUUGUGAGAAAAGUUUC